rnacentral:rRNA from 1 species
GAUGAACGCUAGCGGCAGGCUUAAUACAUGCAAGUCAAGGGGUCAGCAAUGACACCGGCGGACGGGUGAGUAACGCGUACACAACGUACCUUUAACUGGGGGAUAGCAUUUGGAAACGAGUGGUAAUACCGCAUGUGGUUGUAGGGAGGCAUCUUUUUGCAACUAAAACUCAGGUGGUUAAAGAUCGGUGUGCGUCCGAUUAGCUUGUUGGUGAGGUAAUGGCUCACCAAGGCGACGAUCGGUAGGGGGCGUGAGAGCGUGAACCCCACACGGGUACUGAGACACGGACCCGACUCCUACGGGAGGCAGCAGUAAGGAAUAUUGGUCAAUGGAGGCAACUCUGAACCAGCCAUGCCGCGUGAAGGAAGAAGGCGCUAUGCGUUGUAAACUUCUUUUGGGUGGGAAGAAAAUGGUCAAUUUAUUGGCAACUGACGGUACCAUCAGAAUAAGCACCGGCUAACUCCGUGCCAGCAGCCGCGGUAAU